AGAGUUUGAUCCUGGCUCAGAUUGAACGCUGGCGGCAUGCCUUACACAUGCAAGUCGAACGGCAGCGCGGGCUUCGGCCUGGCGGCGAGUGGCGAACGGGUGAGUAAUAUAUCGGAACGUGCCCUAGAGUGGGGGAUAACUAGUCGAAAGACUAGCUAAUACCGCAUACGAUCUACGGAUGAAAGCGGGGGAUCGCAAGA
rnacentral:rRNA from 1 species